rnacentral:rRNA from 1 species
AUUGAACGCUGGCGGAAUGCUUUACACAUGCAAGUCGAACGGCAGCACGGACUUCGGUCUGGUGGCGAGUGGCGAACGGGUGAGUACUGUAUCGGAACGUGCCCAGUCGUGGGGGAUAACGUAGUGAAAAUUACGCUAAUAACGCAUACGAUCUAUGGAUGAAAGCGGGGGAUCGCAAGAACUCGCGUCAUUCGAGCGGCCGAUAUCAGAUUAGGUAGUGGGUGGGGUAAAGGCCCACCAAGGCAACGAUCUGUAGCUGGUCUGAGAGGACGACCAGCCACACUGGAAAUGAGACACGGUCCAGACUCCUACGGGAGGCAGCAGUGGGGAAUGUUGGACAAUGGGCGAGAGCCUGAUCCAGCCAUUCCGCGUGCAGGAUGAAGGCCCUCGGGUUGUAAACUGCUUUUGUACAGAACGAAAAGGUUUCUACUAAUACUAGGAGCUCAUGACGGUACUGUAAGAAUAAGCACCGGCUAACUACGUGCCAGCCGCCGCAGUAA